rnacentral:lncRNA from 1 species
UGGCUUGCCUUCAUCUCCGUUUUUUGAGCUUAAGGGAUGAAGGUGUUCUUGAAAGUCUUAUAACUAGUCUGAAAUGAAGGUGAAACCAGGACUGAGAUUUCACAGUAGCUGCUCCAGCACUCUGUCUGCCUCGUAAGACCUGCCCUUGUCUCUCCGCUUGUGGGUUGUGAGAACCAGGGCUGGUUUUGUCUAUAGGGUGGCUUUGCAAAGGGAAACAGUCAUUACAGCAAAAUUCUGAUUCUUCUCCCCAAGAAUCCUCUGCGAACUUCUCUGUGAAGAAAGGACAAGCCAUGCAAGGACUCAGUGAGGUGAGGAAUAAGAAAACAUCAAAUGCUCAUUUCCCCUGCCUUCUGAGACUGCACCUUACCUUUGCAGCGUGGGAGCAGAGUCCCAGAGAAUCCCCUUUGUGUAGCACAUCCAUCUGAUUUUCUAGGCCGUCUUCAAUUCCUUGGAUAUCAGCAGAGCAGGCUUGAAACUGCAGUAACUGGAGAUUACACCAACCUCCAAAACAACAGCCUGCAUCCAUUCUGGAAGAGAUACUGCAGAAGAGAAAUCCUAGGAAAAGACUCAAAGGCACAAGAGAACCCUGAUCAGUAUGUAGAUGAUCCUCUGAUCACCAGUAAAACAAAGGACACCUUAAACCAAGAUACAGUUUGACUUGGAACUUUUGGCUGAACAAGAUAUCCAAGAAGAAAGCACAAAUCUUUCAUCCCUCAGUUGAUAUUUGGGUUUUGAACUUUCACAAGGAUGGAGACACUAAAUCCCCGACAGAAAGGAAGCUCUAACCAUGGGUGGGGUUUUAACUACCAAGAUAAAAUUGCACAGAGUCCUAGGGAUAACUGGGUUCUGUCCUAUUUGGGUCACUGACUUUGGACUUGUGGAAAAAGCACUUUCAGAAGCUCUUAGA